AGGCCGUUGAGUGCAUUUGUGUGAACCGUGCGCGCGGAAUAUCCGUAUUUGCUUUUCUGUCUCCGACCGUCCGCAGCCGUCCAAGUUGCAUCAACGAAAAGCUCGCCAGCCGUCGUGUGUGUGUGUGUGUGUUGUGGUGACUCCACAAGUGUGUCUCGUGUGGAUACAGCGAUGAAGGCCAGGGUAUUUGGAUGCUGCGUCGUGUGCUAAAACAGCAUGGAAGAAGACUCUCCGGUUCGCCUCAACGGGCGGAGGAACCGUCGGCGGCUGUCAGGUGACUCUACCAAUAGCGACAGCAUGCCAGACAGCCACGACUGCGACUUCGAGCCAGCACUGGAGUUCGAUGACACUGAGCUGGUGCAGACGUCGCUUGGCACCCAUGGGAACCUGCCAAUCAAAGCUGGUGAGCCCAACCGGAAUCUCACGGUGCACCUUGAUCUGAGGGACACGACCUCAGCCAACGGCCGGUACACGAGCAGUGGCAGCAAGGGUGGCAGCUCCUCCUCACCCGAGUACCUGGACUCCUCGCCUUCCCUCUCGGAGAGCCUGCUGGACGACAACAACUACGAGGCCGUGCUGGGCCUCGACCUCGAACCGCCCCCCGACCUUUUACCACCCCAGGAUGGCCGACCACAGCUGGAGGACUUCGCCGACAUUGAAUGCCACGGCAUUGUCGACAUUGCUGGGGACGACGCUUAUGGUCGCAACGUGAUUGUCAUCUCGGCAUGCAGACUGCCACCUCACAAAGAGUUGAACCACCCAAAGUUUCUCAGGUACCUGAUGCACACCCUGGAUCAGUUUGUGGAGAGUGACUACACACUGGUGUAUUUCCACCACGGCCUCAGCAGCAAGAACAAGCCGUCUCUGGGCUGGCUGUGGACCGCAUUCCGCGCAUUUGACCGCAAGUACAAGAAGAACCUCAAGGCCCUCUAUCUAGUCCACCCAACUGGCUUUGUCAAAAUACUCUACCAGCUGUUCCGGCCAUACAUUAGUGCCAAAUUUGGGAGGAAAAUCUCAUAUGUGAACCACCUGCACGAGCUAAAGCAGCAUGUCCACUACGACCAGCUGCGGAUACCGGAGCAGGUGCUUGAGCACGACCGGAAGCUCCUGUCCAAGGGAGCACGGAUCCCACACUCUCACAGCAGUGGCUUCUUCACUGCACCCACAUAUCAGCCAACGCAGCAGUUUCGGGCCUCCCUCGAGCACAUCAAGAAGCACAACAAUGGGGACCCAAUUCCAAAUGUGGUUCGGGACUGCAUCACUUACCUGGACAAUGACAACGCCCUGGAGACCGAAGGCAUCUUCAGACGUUCUGCCAACACGCAAGUGGUCAAAGCAGUGCAGGCACUCUUUGAUGAAGGCAAGUACGUCAACUUUGAUGCUUACAAGAAUGUGCACGUUGCGGCAGUGAUCCUCAAGACCUUCCUCAGGGAGUUGGAGGAACCCCUGCUGACCUUUGACCUUUAUGACGAUGUCAUGAGCUUCCAAGAGCUUGACCAGUCUGAGAAGUUGGCGCAGGCACGUACCUUGCUGUUGGAGCGGCUGCCUGAGGACAACUAUGAGCUGCUCAAGUACAUUGUUGAGUUUCUCGCCAAGGUGAUUGACCGGAGUGAUCUGAACAAAAUGACGGCAUCCAACCUUGCCAUUGUGUUUGGCCCAAACUUGCUGUGGUCUCGCCAGGAGCAGGCCUCGCUCAUUUCCAUCACCCACAUCAACCAGUUCACCGAAUACGUCCUACGGAACCAACACCUGCUGUUCGGCAAGUGAGACAUUCCACGGUGGAGUGCUUUUCAAUAGAUGAAUGGCUGUUGAAAUUAUUGUGUUUAUUGACAAACCUGAGCUGACAAAAGCUUUGAUUGCUGCUUGCCAUUAUCUUACAGUGUGAGUGCAACGUUGCUAGUACUCUGCGUGUGUGUGUGUUGUGCGAAUUGGUUGUCUUGCUUGUAUGCCAGCAUCGAGCCACUGUGUGGCCACAUUGGCAGUUUUGAAAUGACCAAUCUUCGCGAUGGAGGUGCAGUCUUGCGGCAUCUACUUAAACAGUCUGCUCUCGUUCAGCAUCUCACAAAGGCUUUUGUGGUGUUGGUUGUCAUGCUAGUUGAUCUUACAGCUUGCACCAAGUACCAUUCUUGUAAAGCAUUUAAUUGGCUCAUCAAAUGCAGGCACUGCGUUGGCCAUUAGGGCGCUGGACGUGCUAGCCUUCAUCGCUACUACCACCGUCACAGCCAGAGUCCCAGUGCAGAUGUUGUCUUGUGGCACAGUGGGCAUGACUAUGGUCUUUGCAAAAGAAGCUGGCAGAGGAAAAUUUAUAUCGAAAGAUCAAAUUAAAAAUAUUCCAGUUCAUUCUGAAACAUUUUUGAGGCACCACAUAUCUUUUAAAAAGACCUGGAGUCGGGCAAUGGAAGGUAGUGUUUUGUUAUUCGUACACGUAUACCAUUUGUGAUGGUGGGGCGGUCUCUGAAAAGCACCAGUCAGCUUUGCACCACAGUCACAUGUGUCUCUUGUGCCAGUGUGGUGACGCUACUUAAUGGCAAGAAACAUUCGCGAUUCACUUCAUUCUAUGGAUUUGCCAAGGUUUGAUUGUAGCUUGUUAAUAUGCUCCUUUACAAGAUGGUCACAAGGGCAGUUUGACAAAGAUUUUCUGGAAAAGUUUCAAUACAUGAUUAUUUCAUGGAACACACAAAAAAAAGUUGCACUGUGUGCUGACGGUGUCGGUCAGUCAUGCCUGUUUCCACAUGCUUCCACCACAAGUGUGUUGAAUGUUGUAUUAUUUAGAUAUAUGCGAUUAAAACGGCGACUCUAUCCUGCUCAUGUUUUAUACAUAGGUUGGAUGUCAUGCUGUGCAAUGCUUAGGUGCAUUACCUGCCUGUUUGACGCAAUAUAGCAUAGUAAUGCUGUUGGUAUUUUAUUUGUUAUGAGCAUGAUUUGCUACGCAUUGGCAUUUCAAUUUUAUUGUUAUAUUCGGUAUACUGAAAUUUGACUCCAUGUGGCAAUGCCAGACAAAAGAAUAAUUUUGCUGCAGUGGGACCAUCUGUUGUUGGUCACAGUGAUAGAUGUUCGCAUUACAAAAUGUUUUCUUUUGUAAGCGUAAUCUGCUUCUGUGCUACUAGUAGAAGCGCUGGUCUCCAGAAAUUCAGCCUCUAUACUUCACAAUGUUAAUGAAAACCAGCAGGUGAUGAAGGCCGAUAGAGGGGACGACUGCCGUCAUAGGUCUGUUGGUAGAGCGUCAGGCGCGGCAUCAGAAGGUUGAAGGUUCGGCCCCUGCCGGCGGCAAGUCGUCUUUUCAUACACUUUACUUUCUUUACAUUUAUAUCUUAAUUACUACAAUAAAGAUAAAACAGUGCAAUUAACAUCCCCUAGGCAUCAUUAUCUGCUGGUUUCCAUUAAGGUUGUGUCAAGCAAAGAAACGAGCCCUCAGAAUUCCCUUCCUUCAUUGAACCUCUCUUUGGUCAGAUCAUUAUAAUUGCAGCUCUUUUCUUUUUUACUUUCAUGUGAAUAAUCUCUGCAUGGCAAACAACAGUUGUAUUUCAGCAACACAUACCGAAGUCCAAACACACCGCUGUGUUUCAACCUGUCAGUGCACCUUUGAUGACACCAUAACAUCUAGGGCACGUCUUCGUGGUGGAGUAGUUGGGAUUUUUUGGUGACCUUUUAUUUUUCCAAUUUUCCCUGACAUAAGAAAUGGCUUUCAUGCCGAUUCAGAAAAGGGAAACUGACAAGCACCCACCUGUAGCACGAAGCCUCUAGGACAUCCAUACGGAGCAGUCCCCCCGGAAAGGCGUUCGAUUCCCGGACAAGGAUGAAUUUUUCCGCAACUGAGACUGAGAAAUCCCUAUGAAUUAUCUUGUGGCUUCACAAUGCAAACAGGUGAUUGUCAAUUUCCUUCUAUUAACGCUUCCACAACCUUGCAAGAUUUCGCAGAGCCAAUUUGCAGCAUGCUGAUUCAAAUGCUGUUAGCAGGGCCUGUGCACAGUAAUGUGGUUCUAUAUGUUUGCUACAACCUGAAGUCGUGACAACAGCCACUGUCCUUUUGCUGCCACUACAACCUCUGUGUUUUCUCCACUAAGUAUAUAUUGGUGGUUUUGUCCACCUCUGACUGCAGGCUUUCAGACUACUGACAAGCUUACUGCGAUAUCGCUUGUUAUGAGAUAAUGUUGAGGGUAUACUUCCUCGAUAUCCUACUAGCAGAAAAAAGCUAUGGAAAUGCAGCAUUAUUUAAAAAGGAUAAAACUGUUCACCUAGUAAAGAUAAACAGUGCAAAAAAACACUGCUAUGAAAAGCAAGCACCCAGGACAAGUGCCGACUUCCAGCUGAGUUUUAUAGACAUGAAUGCGUCAUGUAAGUAUCUGCGGGAACAGCUACAAAAAAGGACAGGAAGAAGUGCGCUGACACGCAAGCAGCAAAAACAGCAAUGACAAUCACAGUGGCUUGCAGUGCAAAGCCCUGCAUUCCAAGAAACAGAGCUCCCUGUCAGAUAUGGCAGCCGACGGUGUGCUUGUGCACCUGCACCAUCUGAGCUGCCUCACUGAUUAUGCGCACUUGCUCAUCCUUCAUCACAUACACAGCUGUGAUCCACUGGAACUGCAGAGUGCAUCCACACGUGCUCACAUGCAGUGCCAGGAAGCCUUCUUUACCAUUACGUACUUUAUUGGCAUGCUCACGUAGGCGCUCGCUUAGGCAUCUGCCUGUCUGGCCCAUGCCACAUGCCCCGCAAGACAAGGGGAUCCUCUGCACAAUGCCUUGCACAUAGUCGACAAGCUAUGUGCAGUGUUUGACGGCUCAUUGCUUCCCGCGCCUCUUUAUGAGACGGGUCCUAUUUGCCAGCUGGGACAGCUUGUCAGGAUCACUGAAAAGAACUUUCACACGAAUACAUUGCUCUGUUUCGUAGCCGUGCUUUUUUGUGCUGUUUACCUUCGGCAUGAAUAACUAACUAGCCCAGUCAGCUACUUUAAUGUCCACCUAGGUUACUGUUCUACUUAACAGCUCUCACAAACUGUGUAGCAGCAAAGUUCACUGCUUAUUGAUGCCGGUAACUUGUUCGAUAUUUCCUUACUUUCAAGACUUUGCGUGUCUCAAUGCAUUAGCAUUGCUUGCUUUCAGACCCGUUGGCUCACACUCGAAGGAGGUGAGCAUUGUGAAAGCCACUGGCACGCUUGCACAAGUUGCAUGAAAAAAAAAAAAGUGAAGCAUUACAAUAACAGUUACUUCGUCGAAAUGCAAUUUCUUAUGGUGCACCCGUUACAGCCCCCAAGAAAAUAGUUGAGGAAUUACUGAAAAUUAAACGCUAAUACUGCAUGCGUCCCAACUUUUAUAGAAAUUGUGCAGAAUAUUUCUUCAACAGAAUGAGCUGGCCUGGAGCCCUUUGUGCAUUGUUCAUCUUCGCUUGCUUUUCAAGAUUUUCACUGGUUACCUUUCCUGGCUUUUUUUGCAAUGACAUGACACUGAAUACUCUGUGCAUUGUAGGGACACCUUGCACAGAGUGUUGUUGUUUCAUUGGCUUGAUGUUUGCGUUCCUGCUGUGAAGUACAGCGCAUUACCGUUCCUAUGGCUCGGAAUCUGUGAGCAAAGGUGCUGCCAAUGGAGGUGCAGCGGCCAUUGCUACCAAGCAAUGCACUUUUCUGUUGCACUAAAUAAGUUUUAAAUAUGCAUUGCAAACGAGCCACAGCAGUUCUGGGCCAAAUGACGAAGUCCAGGUCUGCCUCACCUGCUUUGUGGCACCACCAUUCUUGUUUAGUUGCCACCUGAUUGGAACGCUCAACAGUGAUACACUUCCGUAAAGAAAAAAAUCGUUACUUAUAAAGUUAAUUAAAUUGACAUAACUGUUACUAAGUGUGUAACUUACGCAGAUGACACCAGCUUGUUUUUUGAUGGUGAUUCUGGUAUGGAAAUAUUGAGUCGAGCCAAUAAGACACCUGGUUGCAUGCAUGCUUGCUCCGUGAGAACAUUAAUGCAGAGAAAACCAAGGCUGUGCUAGUUUGUGCACGUGACGAACAGUUUGAGCUAUAUCUCCCAUUUAUUUAAAUGGUAAUAUCAUAGAAGUAGUGCCAUCUUUCAAAUUACUGGGCGUAUACCAUAUUUUAUGGCAUAUAACCUGCACCAAAGAAUGGAAAAAUGUGCUUAAAAAGUGGGGGUGCGGGCUAGAUAUGGGGGUUGUAUGCACGUCUUGUUUUUUUUUCCUUUUUAUAGAUUUAAAAUUAGGGGUGCCGGUUAUAUGCGAGAAAAUACGGUACUUCUUUUGAAACUAUUUCAUGGGAUUGCCAGAUUGAUCACAUAAUUAGCAAACUGUCAAGAGCGGCAGGCACUAUGCGUCAUUGUAGUUACGUUCCUUCAUAAAUUAAUAUGCUUUUGUAUAAUUAAAUGUUUGUUCACUAGGUUCAGUAUGGCAUUCUUGUCUGGCGAACGACUUCACUAGAGGACAUGCAUAAACUGGCAGUACUGCAAAAAAGGGCAGCAUGCCUAGUGUCCAUGGCACCACGCACUGGUCCUUUGGUCUUAAAGCUCAGUAUUAUAAAAAUAGAGUCUUUGUACCAAUAGAGAAUUGAAAAAAAUGAAGAAUGAUAACACGCAAACCAAUCUGGCUUCCUUACAGCGUCAUAUCUCCUUUUCAAACAUAUGUCGACCAGAACACUGGAAUGUUAACACUAGUAGAACUACCUAUGGCGGCCAAAUGCUGCAGUUUUCUUUACUGAGGCUGUUAAAUCAGACGCAGAAAGAACGCAUAUAACCUAAAUAUGGCUCUUCUGUUUUUAAACCAUCUACGCCAUGUAUUUGUAUGAUUGUAAAUACUCGUGUACGAGGUUCAUGUUCAUUUCAUGAACCUUCUUUGUUGUGCUUGUACGGAAUGUUUCUCUUUGUAAUAUUAUAUUUUCUAUUGCUUUAAGUACAACUGCUUGCGCAUACUGUAUUCCAAUGUGCUAGUAUGCUUUAUUUGCCCGCUGUGAAGCUGCCCUGUGUAUUAACUGGCCAGGUUCACCACAAGCUGCUAAUCACAGCUUUUAUUGCUUGGUCAUCCUCGCAACCCAGUGGCAAAUGAAUUGAUUAAUAAUUAAUGUCAUAAUGUUUUGCAAUCAAGCACGAUGAUGCAACACAUAAAGUGGACUAUACCGCAAACUUUACAGUACUAGUUGUAUUUGCAAAACAGAACAUGUUUUGCAUGCAGAUGAUGUGUGACUAGUGCCUGGGUGGAAGAGCCGAAAACAAACAAACAAAAAAAGUUUAAUUUCAAAAGUUGCCAAAAAGGUAACUAACUGCACGGGAUCUGGUUGCUAUCGGCAACUUGUAGAUGCUGGAUUAAUUUGUGUGUCUUGAGCACAGGCACCGAAUGUGUCUGGCGGCACGAAGGAAAGUACUGCUAAUUUGCGGCCUUCUUCUGAUCUUUCACCAACCAGCCAAGCACAGGGUGCAUUGAUAAUUCCUUUUGUGCAAGAGCUUAAAUGAGAGAAAAGUGGCACACACUGCUGUGCCAACAUUGAUAUUGACAUUGCCAAGUCGGCACAUGUCAUCAACGGAAUGUGUACAGGUUCUCAAAACCCGUGACAACUCUUGAAAUUUAAAAAAAUAGAUUUUGCUAUUUUAGCGCACCGUUAACAAGACAGAGGACAGAAGAACGACACAGACACUGUCCUCUGUCUUGUUUGACAGUGCGCUAAAAUAGCAAGGUGGAUUACCGACACGCCCAAGCCUACACUCUUUCAAGUUAAAAAUACAAUUUCAAGGCCCUUGGAAGGCUUGGAAUUCUUCUCUUUCCUUGAAAGCACUUUAAUUUCUUGACCAAUAACUAUGCUACGGGAGAUGAUCUGGCAUGCUUCCCGUUAUAGAAACAAUACGAGUUCACAUUACCUGUUUUGUAUGACUUGUGAAGAAAUCUUAUCAUGAAUGGUGACCUCCACACCCUGUGCUAUGAUUCGUCUCACUUGCCCACUUACUAACGAUCCAGCACUUAUGUUGACCUCCUCAUUUCUUUUGAGCAAGCGGCGUACGGAUAUCUGCCAAUAUAAUUAGCAGCUUGACAAAUGUCCGCUGUCCUCAUACAGCCAAAGCUGAAAAAAAAAAUGCUGUAUGCUGUAGUCCUAAUUGAAGCUGCUAACAGUGUUUUUUAUUAGCUCUUUUUUUGCAUAAUUACAUGGGACAUGAGAACAGUGAUUACUAGCUACUGCACUGACAUUGGGAAGGUUUGGACAUGUCAGGGGCUGCUCAGAAUGAUCUGGUGGGCUAGUUGCUUAUGCAUGUCUGAUCACAAAAACCUCUCGACACAGACAGGCCUUGUGUCCCCCUCUGUCUGUGCAGAGGCGUCCACUUCUACCUUGAACACCUCACCAUGUGACCAGCGGUCCGCGGAGCGCCUCUCGCGGGCGCUUGGGCAACUAGUGCACAAGCGCAGUGACAGCUGUAGGUGGGGCAUUCACAGCGUCGUCUGCUAAAGCGCGGCGGCUCCGCCGAACCGCGCUUGCUUUGCGGUAAAGCUAACUUCGCUCUUGCUAUGCACACGCAAAUCGAGAAUCAGGCACGGUUCUCGAGAAGCGCAGCGACUGCACCUCCUUCUGUCCGGUUUUUGCUCCUCGUUUUCUUUGUUUUCUGCAUGAGAUCUCAGAAGUAAUAAACCAUGGCCCCUACAUGAGUAAAAUCUCCAAGCCACACUGCCACUCCCACAACUCAGCUGCUUUGUGCCGAACAGCUACAAUAUACCGGCGACUGACAAAAUUGUUCUCAUCAGCUGAAGCUUUUGCUACACAAAGUUGAUAAUAAUGAAAAAAAAAAAGAUAAGUUUGACUGUGCUGCGAAUGGAAGGCUUACCAAAAACUUUCCGCGUUGUACUAAAGUUUUGAGCCAAGAAAGAUAUAAAACGAUAUGCGGGCCUUGGGUCGCCUAGAGAUAAAAAAGGAAGUGAAGCUUUAUUUAGCGCCUGCUUACAGAAGUAAAGAUUUGUCAGCGGCGCUUCUUUGGUGCGCUGAUUGCCUGGUAUGAGUUCAGCUGAAAACUCUAUUCGAACGCUUCUUUAUUUGUCUGCAUGAAUGGUACGAAAAACACGUUUGCAAAUGAACAGCAAAUUAGGGCGGCGUAUUGGCGAGUUAAAUUCUCUAGUGCAUGAAUGCAGCGGGGCUGACAACACCCGAAUGUUAUGUAACUUCUCUGAAUUGGAAAACUGCUAACAUCCUUUUGUUUUCAGGUGACUAACGAAUUGAAACUUUCGCCCAUUCAAAGCUGUUAUGUCAUACCUUACAAUGUAUUUGCCGCCAAUUCUGCGGCGCCUAACUUUUAGGCUGACCAAAAACAAUCGCAAGAGCAGCGAUAACAUUCUGGUAGGGCAGAAAGCAGCUUAGUUGUGGGAGUUCCAGUGCUGCUUGGAGAUUUUACUCAUUCACGGGCCAAGGUUUAUAACUUGUGAGAUCGCAUGCAGAAAAGAAAGGAAACACUAGGCAAAAGAUGGACGCAACAAGGCGCAUUCAAUGCGCUUCUGAAGAACCAUGCCGGAUUCUCAAUUUGCGUGCGCAUAGCAAGAGCGAAGUCAGCUUCACCGCAAAGGAAGCGGGAUUCGGCGGAGCCAUCGCGCUUUAGCAGACGACGCGACGAAGGCCCCACCUACAGCUGUCACUGCGCUUGCGCGCUAGUUCCCCAAGCACCCGCGAGAGGUGCUCUGCAGAGCGCUGGCCACACGGUGCGGUGUUCAAGGUGGAAGUGGACGCCUCUGUACAUGCCAAUAAGUUUUUGUGGGCUGUGAUCACAUAGACUUGGCAAUCAAGACUUGACAUUUCUAAUCAAAUAUUUUAAUUUCUAGUGCAUUAAAUCAAUCCUUUGUGUUUUGGCAACACUGUUAUAGUGGAAGAUUUCUAGUUGGGAUGCUGCUCUGCAUGCUGAACCACAGCGCAACUGCUGAGACGAUAAGACGAAGGAGGGACACUAAGAGGCACUGACUUGGUUGCGCUGUGCUUCACCAUGCAUCACCAGUUCACCCAAUCUUCACACUGAAGAAUCUUUGACAGGUACUUUUGAAUUUUAGCCCUGCAAUACUGCACGAGCCCUGAAUGGUUUCGACAUGUGCCGACUCUGUGCAAAAUGCGUUUUUCUGUCAAAUUUCUGUGCUGGCUGUGAGAUUACUUUAGCAGAAACUGUGUUGCUGUUGCCAUGCAUUCUGCUCCACUGCGUAUUGACCAGCAAGGUUUGUUGCUAAGGUAAACAUUAAAAUCCAGCCAGCAGUAUGUAUUCCAAAGUAUGAAUCCGAUUUUAUGCACUUUGGUAGGAUGGCUCCAUGCCAACAUUGUCCAUCUGGCACAGCUGUUCUGGCAUUCUGCACAGUGUGGCCACCAAAUGUUGUGUAACAAGGACAUCAGACACCGUGGUCAUAAAAAAAAAGCAUCUUUCGGUGUCAGGCUGCUUGGCUGCUUUAUCCUUUUUUUGUUUGUGGCAAUCCAAUUGGAAAAAAAAAUAUGUUUCUGCUAGAAAAUGCUCUGUCGUCAUUUGCCUGUAAAGCGGUGCAUGUGGUGUUUGGCAAUUGCAGUAUGAUAGCAUCAUACAUGACUUCUGCUUUGCCCUAAAUUAUGCAUGCAAAAUGAGUGCAACCUCUAGGCAUUGGCCAAGCCGUCUUGGCACUAAACAAAAGAAGGGGAAUGUAUUGAGGGCCCGUUUCUUUGCUAGAUUAUGGAGCAUUCGGUAUGCUUCCAUAUUAGCACAUCCUGUCGCAAUUGUCACGGCUUUGCUGCCAAAUGCGUAUUGAGCACAUACCAAAGCCUUUCUGUCUUUUGCAUUCUUUAUGUUUUCAUGUACAAGCUUCAGGGACGCAUCAACGAGAUGCAAAACUGCAAAUAUGCACAGCACAAUUAUUGUACAAAGAAAGUGUUCAAAGUUCUGCAUCUCAACUGUGGGAUUCAUUGCUUUAAAAUAUGUAAUCUCCAAGAGUGUUUUUGCCCUGUUGUGCUUUAAGUGUGUGUAACAUGCAAAGAAGUGCCGUGCUUGCAAGACGAGAGAGCUUUUUUUUCCCUUUCUAGUCACCAAAGUAUGUAUAACUUAGUCUAGGGCUGUUUUCUAUUGCAUUACAUAGUUCUCCGACCAGGGUUCUCCCCAGCAAUCUUCAAGCGGUGGACUGGACAUUUUGAGAGCGGGUAGGGGGUGAUGUUAAUAUAAGAAUUUCAAAUUUUCCAACAACUUGUUGCUUUCGACACACAUCUACAUUCAAUUUCUGGCCGCUAUGACACACAUCUGUCAAAGGCAGUUUAUUACAUUCUAGUGCACAUUGAAAUGGGAAAGAGGAAAACGUACAGAAGAAGGGAACCUCGGUUGGCAAUAGUUGAGGCGCAUAAAAAAAGAAAACAGCGAGCAAGUGAAUCAAGAACAAGGAAACGGUAAAAUACAACAAACGGAGUACCGGUAUUAAGACAAAGUGGCAAAGUACAAGAGCUGUAUACCACUAACAAGACUAAUGAUUGCACAAAUGACAGCUUGUCAAAAUUAUAAAUAAAGCUUAAUAACUGGUGAUAUGCUGAAGGUAGUAAAUUUAGUUUUGUAAGCUAAGAAGCUUGAUGGCAUGCCUGAAUUCAUGAAAAGAUGAAGAGGUCAGCUCAUAAGCAUUUACUUUGAGAUUUGCGCAUAGAAGACGGCAGCAAGGCCACUUGUCGAGGCUCUCCUUUAGGUACACACGACUAGCUCACCGUAAGACAAGUACGCAUUUCAAAGAGAUCACUCUGAGCGAUGGGUGGCUAAACGGAGUGGCGUUACGGUGGGGAGAACCCUGGCUGUGAUGCUCAUCCACUGUGGCCCCUAAAGAGUCCGCUUUUGCUUUGUACUCUGCGUAACGUGCAAUAUACAGUCAGUACAUAUGUACACGUAAAGAUUUUUUAUCUUAACCUCUCCUUAUUAAUGUGAUGUACAUGAGCAGGUAAAUUAUUUGCAAAUAUGCUACGGUGCACCAGAUUUUCUCUAUUCAAACGAUGGCACGAAAUGUCGGGGAUGAACGUUUUCGGGAGAAGGCAAGCUUUAUUUUCAUCACCAACAAGCCACUGUUUCCCGAGUGCACGCUUGUUUCAAACACAUUGAUCUCAGUCAACAUUAAAACAUUUAUAAUUAUAUUGGCUCAAGUUAUGUUUCUAUUACAAUGCAAGCAUCAAACAAAGCCCAAUUUGGCAUCUAAAAUCUUUUCACAAGGAGAACCACUAUUUUUUUUUAAUCAUUUUGAAAGGUCCAUAGGACAGGCUUAUUGUCUCUUCUGAGCCAAAUGCAAUUUGACAACAGGCUUGCCUUCAAAUCCCAAAGCUAAGAAACUCUGGCAAUGUGUGUGUGUACAAGAAGUCCUUUAUAGUACGGCACCCAGUUUCAGCACUGCUAUGAAGCAAUUCACGUUUUUUGUGUGCUUUAUAUAACAGCAUCUGUAUGCUGAACUGACCAAGCAACUGUGACGGAUUUCUUCGUUUGGCUAUAGCAGCGGAAGUGAUAAGCUUUUGUAUAUUAUGCCCCAACCUUAAAAAACACAAAACAAUUGCAUAAUAUAAUGUUUUGUAGCAUUAAAAAGGUCUUCUGUAUCCAAAA
rnacentral:misc_RNA from 1 species